rnacentral:lncRNA from 1 species
GAGCGGAGGGGAAAGGUAGAUUUCUGCAGUUAAUCUUUUGAGGUCUGUUUCACUGCAGCCUUGCAGGAGCCACUCACCUCCAUGUUGUUACCGAGCCAACAGGCCACCUCCUCGGCCAGGAGAAUUACCCCCAAAGGCUCCAGCAGCUCCAAGAAAGACCUCACCCAAACUGCCCACCCAACAACCAGCGCGUUGAGAGACAGAUUAUUUGGGAAUCCUCUGCCUUCCCACAAUGCCCUCUGUAGGCUCCAGAGGAACAGAGCAGGAGGUUCCCAGUGCGUGGGGAGCAGAGCUGGGGCUGCGUGAUCCCAUCGGUGCCAGGUGCCCAGGGCAGAUCCACAGUGACGAGCUGCCGUCCCUCUGCUGCCCCAUCUCCAGCCCUCCUGUGUCCUCACAUCCUCUGCAAGAGACUUGGGGCACUGAUAUUUCUCCAGCCUUAGUGACCACUGCUGACCACUGCAGAAGGACAGUUCCACUUCUCUUUGACAUCUGGGGAUGCUGCAUGGGGAAGAGAUGGAGAAGCUCUCAUUAGGUGGCACAGAUUGCACAUGGGCAGCGCUGAUGAGCUCCACAUCUCUUUGCUCGCGCCCACCCUGCAAAUGCACUGAGUGAUUUCUUAUGUUUUAAGCUGUGUAAUUGCUAGGGAAAAUCCUUUUCUAUGUCUUUUCCUUUAUUGUCAUGUUUAAGAAGUUCUUUUGUAUGUCAUAACAUUUUGUCUGUUUUUACUGAAACGGUUCCACGAAGGAACGAUUGUUUGCACAAACAGACUGACAUGUUGAUACAGGCUGACAACUGCACAGCUAAGACCAAAAUAAAAUGUAAAGUAAACACA